rnacentral:rRNA from 1 species
AUUGAACGCUGGCGGCAUGCUUUACACAUGCAAGUCGAACGGCAACACGGGGGCAACCCUGGUGGCGAGUGGCGAACGGGUGAGUAAUACAUAGGAACGUAUCCUGAAAUGGGGGAUAGCUCGGCGAAAGCCGGAUUAAUACCGCAUACGAUCUACGGAUGAAAGCAGGGGAUUCGCAAGAACCUUGCGUUUCUGGAGCGGCCUAUGUCUGAUUAGCUAGUUGGCGGGGAANAGCCCACCAAGGCGACGAUCAGUAGCUGGUCUGAGAGGAUGAUCAGCCACACUGGGACUGAGACACGGCCCAGACUCCUACGGGAGGCAGCAGUGGGAAUUUUGGACAAUGGGGCAACCCUGAUCCAGCCAUGCCGCGUGAGUGAAGAAGGCCUGG